rnacentral:lncRNA from 1 species
UUUCUGAUGGGUUGUAUUCUUUCAUUAUUGUUAUUAUUUUAACAAUAUUUGGCUGCUGAGAAACAGAGAAAGUGAAAGAACAGAGAGAAAAAUGUUUUGAUGUUUUAUAAUAUUGUUUGACUAUGAGUAUGAUCAAUCUAAGAGUCAACAUACACCUUUUUUUUUAUUAUUUUCCCAAUUUUUGAUAGGACUGCAGAUAUGCAAAGCCCACUACAAGAAGGCUAGAGAACACGCGUAAUGAGAGUGUACUAGCCAAACUCUGACUUCAAUCACUGAUAAUUUAUUUUCAUCUUCAUUGAUUUUCAUCACUGAUAAUACCUCUAAGAGAUAUUAGAGGUACAAAGAUUAUAUGUGCUAGUAAUGUAGAAGUGCACUACAACUACAAGUUAGUGUUAUUUAUUCUAUGCCAUUGUUAACUUCUUAGGAUGCUGUUGCAUGGCCGUAACAUGAGUUAAAAUGAACUAAAGAUAAUGUGUACUCUCUUUGCUUUGUCCAUCAACUAAAAGAUUAGCCAAUAAUCUCUAAGUUAAAAUAUGUAAUUGCAUUUUUCUUUUUGGUUCUUUUUUGCCCGAGAUUCUUAAUUUGGUUAUUCUUUUUCAAGCUGGAAUCUUUCUCACUUGGUACAUCGCAGGAGAUAGCAAAGGUGCUAGGCACUGUUUCACCCUUAGUUGUUGCAAUGCCACUUACUUUUUAUAAAGGCAUUGAAAUAAAUAUUAGCCACAACAAGAUUGAUUGCUGAUAAACCACCAUCGUGAUUAUGAGGUUCUUCAGAAUGACAGUCGAAUGUCUGGUCACCGAGGAGUACUAGCUAAGUUCUCAUGGUUCGAAAAAGAUAAAAGAAAGUUGAGCAAAUUUAUCUUCAGUUUUCAGCGUGCUCAAUUUAACCAUUAAUUCUGCAUCCCUAGUAUAGAAUCACCGUCAACGACAUUCGUCAUUAUGAAUUAUUGCGAUUCUAAAUUUAUUUUCAGUUGGCAGGCAAAAAUGAGUGAGACUUAUCUUAUGCAGCAGCCAUUACUGCAUAAUUAAUUUAUGGAUACCAAACUUGGCAUAGUAACUACAAAGCUUUAUCAUUAUAAUUGAUUUAAAAAAAAAAAAAGUUUUACAUGGACCAACCUAAUUUUGAUAUGACUGCAGAUAUGCAAAGGCGCCAUCAAAGAGCUUCAGUGAUAAUCUCAUGCGCUGGUCAUUGGCUUCCUUUUCUUUGAGUGGUAAGCUAUUAAAUUUUAAUAAUCAUGGUGGAAUUUGGGAUUGUGAAGAAAGCUCAUUGUACUGAGCUGAGAAGAGAGGAGAAGCCAAAAGCUAAGGUGCGUCAGCAAUGCCACAUCAUCAAUGUUGAAUCAGCUGAUUCUGUUAUGCAGCAAUGAGAGUUCACGUGUAUUGUAGUUAGUUAGUAUUAGCUAGUCUCUUACUGAUUAGUUAGUGAAUUUUAGUGUAAUACAUAUCGGUUUUGUUAUAGCUUUUACUAAUGAAUAUGUAAGUAUAUAAAGUCUGUAGAUUUGCUUAUUUGCGAUCAAUUAAUAAGAUCUGGAAUAUUCAUCAA